CCCAAACUCUACGGGAGGCAGCAGUAGGGAAUUCUUCACAAUGGCGAAAGCUGAUGAGCAACGCGCGUGAGUGAAGAAGUUUUCGAUCGUAAACUCUGUUGUUGUGAAGAAGGAUAGGGGUAGUAACUGGCCUUUAUUUGACGGUAAUCAACUAGAAAGUCACGGCUAACUACGUGCCAGCAGCCGCGGUAAUACGUAGGUGGCAAGCGUUGUCCGGAUUUAUUGGGCGUAAAGCGAGCGCAGGCGGAAAGAUAAGUCUGAUGUGAAAGCCCUCGGCUCAACCGAGGAAUUGCAUCGGAAACUGUAUUUCUUGAGUGCAGAAGAGGAGAGUGGAACUCCAUGUGUAGCGGUGGAAUGCGUAGAUAUAUGGAAGAACACCAGUGGCGAAGGCGGCUCUCUGGUCUGUAACUGACGCUGAGGCUCGAAAGCAUGGGUAGCGAACAGGAUUAGAUACCCUGGUAGUCCAUGCCGUAAACGAUGAGUGCUAAGUGUUGGGAGGUUUCCGCCUCUCAGUGCUGCAGCUAACGCAUUAAGCACUCCGCCUGGGGAGUACGACCGCAAGGUUGAAACUCAAAGGAAUUGACGGGGGCCCGCACAAGCGGUGGAGCAUGUGGUUUAAUUCGAAGCAACGCGAAGAACCUUACCAGGUCUUGACAUCUAGUGCCAUCCUAAGAGAUUAGGAGUUCCCUUCGGGGACGCUAAGACAGGUGGUGCAUGGCUGUCGUCAGCUCGUGUCGUGAGAUGUUGGGUUAAGUCCCGCAACGAGCGCAACCCUUGUUAUUAGUUGCCAGCAUUAAGUUGGGCACUCUAAUGAGACUGCCGGUGACAAACCGGAGGAAGGUGGGGAUGACGUCAAGUCAUCAUGCCCCUUAUGACCUGGGCUACACACGUGCUACAAUGGGCAGUACAACGAGAAGCGAACCUGUGAAGGCAAGCGGAUCUCUUAAAGCUGUUCUCAGUUCGGACUGCAGGCUGCAACUCGCCUGCACGAAGCUGGAAUCGCUAGUAAUCGCGGAUCAGCACGCCGCGGUGAAUACGUUCCCGGGCCUUGUACACACCGCCCGUCUCACCAUGAGAGUCUGUAACACCCAAAGCCGGUGAGACAACCUGUAAAGGAAUCAGCC
rnacentral:rRNA from 1 species